rnacentral:rRNA from 1 species
CCUACGGGAGGCAGCAGUGAGGAAUAUUGGUCAAUGGGCGCGAGCCUGAACCAGCGACGCCGCGUGGAGGAUGAAGGUUUUCGGAUUGUAAACUCCUUUUGUUAGAGAAGAUAAUGACGGUAUCUAACGAAUAAGCACCGGCUAACUCCGUACCAGCAGCCGCGGUAAUACGGAGGGUGCAAGCGUUACUCGGAAUCACUGGGCGUAAAGAGCGCGUAGGCGGGAUAGCAAGUCAGAUGUGAAAUCCUAUGGCUUAACCAUAGAACUGCAUUUGAAACUGUUAUUCUAGAGUAUGGGAGAGGGAG